UACGUAGGGUGCGAGCGUUGUCCGGAAUUACUGGGCGUAAAGAGCUCGUAGGUGGUUUGUCGCGUUGUUCGUGAAAACUCACAGCUCAACUGUGGGCGUGCGGGCGAUACGGGCAGACUGGAGUACUGCAGGGGAGACUGGAAUUCCUGGUGUAGCGGUGGAAUGCGCAGAUAUCAGGAGGAACACCAAUGGCGAAGGCAGAUCUCUGGGCCGUAACUGACGCUGAGGAGCGAAAGCAUGGGGAGCGAACAGG
rnacentral:rRNA from 1 species